UUUGCAGAUGAAACACAUGCUGUAUAAAAACUUUGAGGGUCUCCUACUAGGAUCCUUGUAUCUUUUCCCUACAUCUGGUGCAGAGCACUUUGUCUAGUUUUGAUGUUUUCAGCUCUGAUCCCAGGAACAGUGAAAGAGCAGCAGUGAAUUACACGUGUUCAUACCCACACACUCACAAUGGGUCAGAGCGUUAACAAAUACGUUCAUGAAUUGCUACCACAUUCAAUCUGUUCUGCCUAUGCUUCAUAAAGCAAAACAAGCCAGGAAUUGAGGCCACCUCAGAGAGUUCAUAGGUCAUUUUUAUUUACAUUUUCAGUGCCUCAAGAGUCUUAUUUGUUGUCUAAAACCAUGUUCUGCACAUCCCUCCACAAACACCUGGAAGACAUAAACAUGAUCCUUCACUCACAUCUUGUCAGAGCAACUAAACAUUUGUGAACGUGUCUUGCUCAUCUGCAGCCAUUUUCCUGCCAAGGUGGUCAUAGACCUGCAGUCACCAGCAUUCUCUGUAGUCUACAGUGGUCCCAUUAAAAACAGACUUCUGGAAGGAAGGAGGGCUUUACAGCUGUAAGCUACUCAGCAAGAAAGAGGUUUUGUCCAGCCUUAAGAUAUGCAAUUCUGCUGAAAUAUUCCCUCAUCAAGAGAAGGAAAAGGAAGAAAAAAUGGAAAUUUUCUUGAAAAACAGAGGCAUCAUCUGGAUGUGACACUGCUAGGCAGGGAGGUUGGAUUAGAUGACUUCCAGAGACCCCUUCUCACCUUCACCACUCUGUGAUUCUGUGAUCUGCCAGAACCGGCUUGCAAUCUUUUUGCAGCUGUGGUGAGUUUCUUCCACUCUGCUCCCCCCAAAAGAUGAUGGGGGGGAAUUAUUAAGAAGAUUUUCUCUCUAAAGAAGAAAAGCC